UUGCAGGUAGUGUGUAUAACAUCUUAUAUAUUAAUAGUGAAUUGGUGUUUGUUGUUUUUAAGAACUUUGUGAUAUGUAGUGUUUUGACACUUUCUCCUUGGGUAUUCUGUGCAAUAUGCAGGAAUUUGCUUUAACUCGGGCGAUGUAUUUAUAAAAAAAUAUUGUGGUCAAGGCUGCAGAUUAUGUUGAGCAGGUACAUGAUGGGAAAUUGAUGGUGAAUGGUGAAAUUCAAAAUGAAAAUUACAUAUUGGAGCCUCUUGCCUAUGAAAUGGAACCAAUCUUGGAGCUCAAAAGUUGCAUAUAUUCAAGAAGUCGUGAAGACCAAGUUUUGUAAAAUCCUAGAGACAGAGGUAUGGGAGUUUAGGAUUGUGUUCCAAGGUUGGU